GAUGAACGCUGGCGGCGUGCUUAACACAUGCAAGUCGAACGAAGCAUUUAGAACGGAUUACUUCGGUUUGAAGUUCUUUAUGACUGAGUGGCGGACGGGUGAGUAACGCGUGGGUAACCUGCCUUGUACUGGGGGAUAGCAGCUGGAAACGGCUGGUAAUACCGCAUAAGCGGACAAUGUUGCAUGACAUGGUGUGAAAAACUCCGGUGGUAUAAGAUGGACCCGCGUCUGAUUAGCUAGUUGGUGAGAUAACAGCCCACCAAGGCGACCAUCAGUAGCCGACCUGAGAGGGUGACCGGCCACAUUGGGACUGAGACACGGCCCAGACUCCUACGGGAGGCAGCAGUGGGGAAUAGUGCACAAUGGAGGAAACUCUGAUGCAGCGACGCCGCGUGAGUGAAGAAGUAACUCGUUAUGUAAAGCUCUAUCAGCAGGGAAGAUAGUGACGGUACCUGACUAAGAAGCUCCGGCUAAAUACGUGCCAGCAGCCGCGGUAA
rnacentral:rRNA from 1 species